rnacentral:rRNA from 1 species
UACGGGGGGGGCAAGCGUUGUUCGGAAUUACUGGGCGUAAAGGGCUCGUAGGCGGCCAACUAAGUCAGACGUGAAAUCCCUCGGCUUAACCGGGGAACUGCGUCUGAUACUGGAUGGCUAGAGGUUGGGAGAGGGAUGCGGAAUUCCAGGUGUAGCGGUGAAAUGCGUAGAUAUCUGGAGGAACACCGGUGGCGAAGGCGGCAUCCUGGACCAAUUCUGACGCUGAGACUCGAAAGCAUGGGGAGCAAACAGG